AUGAAUCCUGGCACACAGCAAGUGCUCAGUUAAUACACCCUCUUCUUUCCCAGCCUCUUUGGAAUUCAAUGAACCUGGCUCUCAUCCUGGCUCGGGGACCCUGGAUACAUCACUUUCCCCAGCCUUAGUUUACCCAUCUGGAAUAUGGGGUCACUAUGGGAGGUGUGAGGCUGAAGUCAAGCCCUUGGCGGGUGUACAGCACAGAGAAUGCGGACAAGCUUGUGGCCAGCGUCCUCUGGGUUCAGGGCGUCUUCACCUUGGCAGGGAUGGCAGAGCCCUCUUGCGCCCCGGCAGGUCGGCGGGGC
rnacentral:lncRNA from 10 species